GAUGAACGCUAGCGGCGUGCCUAAUACAUGCAAGUCGAGCGAAUGGAUUGAGAGCUUGCUCUUAUGAAGUUAGCGGCGGACGGGUGAGUAACACGUGGGUAACCUGCCCAUAAGACUGGGAUAACUCCGGGAAACCGGGGCUAAUACCGGAUAACAUUUUGAACCGCAUGGUUCGAAAUUGAAAGGCGGCUUCGGCUGUCACUUAUGGAUGGACCCGCGUCGCAUUAGCUAGUUGGUGAGGUAACGGCUCACCAAGGCAACGAUGCGUAGCCGACCUGAGAGGGUGAUCGGCCACACUGGGACUGAGACACGGCCCAGACUCCUACGGGAGGCAGCAGUAGGGAAUCUUCCGCAAUGGACGAAAGUCUGACGGAGCAACGCCGCGUGAGUGAUGAAGGCUUUCGGGUCGUAAAACUCUGUUGUUAGGGAAGAACAAGUGCUAGUUGAAUAAGCUGACACCUUGACGGUACCUAACCAGAAAGCCACGGCUAACUACGUGCCAGCCGCCGCAGUAA
rnacentral:rRNA from 1 species